rnacentral:rRNA from 1 species
UACGGAGGGUGCAAGCGUUAUCCGGAUUCACUGGGUUUAAAGGGUGCGUAGGUGGAUUGGUAAGUCAGUGGUGAAAUCUCUGGGCUUAACUCAGAAACUGCCAUUGAAACUAUCAGUCUUGAAUACCGUGGAGGUCAGCGGAAUAUGUCAUGUAGCGGUGAAAUGCUUAGAUAUGACAUAGAACACCAAUUGCGAAGGCAGCUGGCUACACGAAUAUUGACACUGAGGCACGAAAGCGUGGGGAUCAAACAGG